rnacentral:rRNA from 1 species
AUUGAACGCUGGCGGCAUGCUUUACACAUGCAAGUCGAACGGUAACAGGCCGCAAGGUGCUGACGAGUGGCGGACGGGUGAGUAAUGCAUCGGAACGUGCCCAGUCGUGGGGGAUAACGCAGCGAAAGCUGCGCUAAUACCGCAUACGAUAUAUGGAUGAAAGCGGGGGACCGUAAGGCCUCGCGCGAUUGGAGCGGCCGAUGUCAGAUUAGGUGGUUGGUGGGGUAAAGGCUCACCAAGCCGACGAUCUGUAGCUGGUCUGAGAGGACGACCAGCCACACUGGGACUGAGACACGGCCCAGACUCCUACGGGAGGCAGCAGUGGGGAAUUUUGGACAAUGGGCGCAAGCCUGAUCCAGCAAUGCCGCGUGCAGGAAGAAGGCCUUCGGGUUGUAAACUGCUUUUGUACGGAACGAAACGGCUCUGGUUAAUACCCGGGGCUAAUGACGGUACCGUAAGCAUAAGCACCGGCUAACUACGUGCCAGCCGCCGCCGUAAUAC